rnacentral:rRNA from 1 species
CCUACGGGCGGCUGCAGUGGGGAAUAUUGGACAAUGGGCGAAAGCCUGAUCCAGCCAUGCCGCGUGUGUGAAGAAGGCCUUCGGGUUGUAAAGCACUUUCAGUGGGGAAGAAAGCCUUGGGGCUAAUACCCUCGAGGAAGGACAUCACCCACAGAAGAAGCACCGGCUAACUCCGUGCCAGCAGCCGCGGUAAUACGGAGGGUGCGAGCGUUAAUCGGAAUUACUGGGCGUAAAGCGCGCGUAGGCGGUCUGAUAAGCCGGUUGUGAAAGCCCCGGGCUCAACCUGGGAACGGCAUCCGGAACUGUCAGGCUAGAGUGCAGGAGAGGAAGGUAGAAUUCCCGGUGUAGCGGUGAAAUGCGUAGAGAUCGGGAGGAAUACCAGUGGCGAAGGCGGCCUUCUGGACUGACACUGACGCUGAGGUGCGAAAGCGUGGGUAGCAAACAGGAUUAGAUACCCCAGUAUC